rnacentral:ncRNA from 1 species
GACCUUGUUUCCAAAUUGUCACCGUAUGGUGCGCGUUUCAGGCUCGCUCCUAAAUAGGAACAAGGUCGUUU